AUUGAACGCUGGCGGCAGGCCUAACACAUGCAAGUCGAGCGGAUGAGAGGAGCUUGCUUCUCGAUUCAGCGGCGGACGGGUGAGUAAUGCCUAGGAAUCUGCCUGGUAGGGGGGGACAACGUUUCGAAAGGAACGCUAAUACCGCAUACGUCCUACGGGAGAAAGCAGGGGACCUUCGGGCCUCGCGCUAUCAGAUGAGCCUAGGUCGGAUUAGCUAGUUGGUGAGGUAAUGGCUCACCAAGGCGACGAUCCGUAACUGGUCUGAGAGGAUGAUCAGUCACACUGGAACUGAGACACGGUCCAGACUCCUACGGGAGGCAGCAGUGGGGAAUAUUGGACAAUGGGCGAAAGCCUGAUCCAGCCAUGCCGCGUGUGUGAAGAAGGUCUUCGGAUUGUAAAGCACUUUAAGUUGGGAGGAAGGGUUGUAGAUUAAUACUCUGCAAUUUUGACGUUACCGACAGAAUAAGCACCGGCUAACUCUGUGCCAGCCGCCGCGGUAAAAC
rnacentral:rRNA from 1 species